rnacentral:rRNA from 1 species
UGGGGAAUAUUGCACAAUGGGCGCAAGCCUGAUGCAGCCAUGCCGCGUGUAUAAAGAAGGCCUUCGGGUUGUAAAGUACUUUCAGCGGGGAGGAAGGGAGUAAAGUUAAUACCUUUACUCAUUGACGUUACCCGCAGAAGAAGCACCGGCUAACUCCGUGCCAGCAGCCGCGGUAAUACGGAGGGUGCAAGCAUUAAUCGGAAUUACUGGGCGUAAAGCGCACGCAGGCGGUUUGUUAAGUCAGAUGUGAAAUCCCCGGGCUCAACCUGGGAACUGCAUCUGAUACUGGCAAGCUUGAGUCUCGUAGAGGGGGGUAGAAUUCCAGGUGUAGCGGUGAAAUGCGUAGAGAUCUGGAGGAAUACCGGUGGCGAAGGCGGCCCCCUGGACGAAGACUGACGCUCAGGUGCGAAAGCGUGGGGAGCAAACAGG